rnacentral:tRNA from 3 species
GCGAGUGUAGCACAAUGGUAGUGCGCCAGUUUUCCAAACUGGAUACGAGGGUUCGAUUCCCUUCACUCGCU